GGAUGAAUCAUGAGCAUGGGAGGUUGUCUGGAGAAAGUGCUCUCUAGGUGCUCCGGGAUCAGUGAUGGGGAAACUUCAGGGAGGAACCUGCAGGAGCUUCUGCUCUGGCGCGCCGGGCUGUUCCACUCCCUGUGGAGUGCGGCCCGCACAGCGUCGCGCCCCAUCCCUGCAGAUGUGUCCUCGAUGAGGCCUGGGGCUCAGAGGAGGGAAUGGAAGGAAGCUGGCUCCAUCUCUUUGCCUUGGAAAGGGCCCCACAUAUUAUAUCCCAUUCCGAGGCUCAUCCUUUAAAUAUGGAUUUGAUCUGGAUUGUACUGUAUAGUAAAUUCUGAGUCCUUAGUAAAAACAUGGGUGGAAAUUAAUCUGUAAAAUGAGACUUGUCUCUUACAUGUAGUGGCAGAGGCCAGGGGCAGACGGGUGCUCCAGGUCAAUGGUGAGGGGACCUGCCUCUAGCAUCUGGACCAGAAACUCACUGCGAACAACACCCGCUCUUCUGUCCCCCACCCUCCCCUUCCUCUCUGCCCUCCCUGUCACCACCCUGACUGGACGUUCUGACUCCUCCCAAACCAUGGUUCGGUACCUUGGGGUCACUCAGAUAAAGCAGAGGGCACAGCUGGCUGUUCCUUCUCCAGAUGUUUUUUCGGGGUCAGGGAGCACUUUCGCUCUGGAGCAGAGAGAUGAACAAAGUCUCUGGCCCUGACCUCUGGCCCCUCAGAGGGAACUGCUAAAACCCGCAGGGGAAGGGGGAAAGUCCACCCUACGGCUGACUCUUCUGGCCCAAGAAGAAUGGCUCUGGGCUGGACCAGUGGCAUUUUUUCAAGUACAGGGGACAGCAUGUUACCGAGCAGAGGCUGCCAUACUUGUGUUGGCUCAGGCUUGAGUGUGUCAUGGCUGGCAGCUGGCACACUUCCAGCUGUUGUCCCCCCUCCCCCAAAACAUUAGAACUGGUCUGUCUACCCGGGCUCCUGCCCUCCAGGAUGGACCCCUGAGCGGCCACAUGCGACUUCCCAUAAAUCAUUCCCGAAUGAGCGUGCUUCCUGCCUCAUCCAUCAUGCCUGUCUCUUGUCUGCUUGUUUUUAAAAGCUGUUAAACUGGAAUCCAUCACAUGGCACCCUCGGGGGGCCAAGCCGCAGCAAAGGCUGCCCGCAUCAUCAAUAUUAAUGCACACAGAGCUUUCUAGAGCAUCGAGGUAAACGUCUCCCCAGUGGUGGGGAGAGGGAGAGCGGGACUUUAUCUAGUUAUACCAGAAGCUAAUGGGAUGUUUCUCUGACACUUGCAGUUAAUACAUUGCCGCCACGCAUGAGGAAGUCCUGGUGGCUGCUGGGUGGACCAGGUAAUGCCCACCUCAACAGUGAGGCUG
rnacentral:lncRNA from 1 species